rnacentral:rRNA from 1 species
UGCAAGUCGAACGAACUCUGGUAUUGAUUGGUGCUUGCAUCAUGAUUUACAUUUGAGUGAGUGGCGAACUGGUGAGUAACACGUGGGAAACCUGCCCAGAAGCGGGGGAUAACACCUGGAAACAGAUGCUAAUACCGCAUAACAGCUUGGACCGCAUGGUCCGAGUUUGAAAGAUGGCUUCGGCUAUCACUUUUGGAUGGUCCCGCGGCGUAUUAGCUAGAUGGUGGGGUAACGGCUCACCAUGGCAAUGAUACGUAGCCGACCUGAGAGGGUAAUCGGCCACAUUGGGACUGAGACACGGCCCAAACUCCUACGGGAGGCAGCAGUAGGGAAUCUUCCACAAUGGACGAAAGUCUGAUGGAGCAACGCCGCGUGAGUGAAGAAGGGUUUCGGCUCGUAAAACUCUGUUGUUAAAGAAGAACAUAUCUGAGAGUAACUGUUCAGGUAUUGACGGUAUUUAACCAGAAAGCCACGGCUAACUACGUGCCAGCAGCCGCGGUAAUACGUAGGUGGCAAGCGUUGUCCGGAUUUAUUGGGCGUAAAGCGAGCGCAGGCGGUUUUUUAAGUCUGAUGUGAAAGCCUUCGGCUCAACCGAAGAAGUGCAUCGGAAACUGGGAAACUUGAGUGCAGAAGAGGACAGUGGAACUCCAUGUGUAGCGGUGAAAUGCGUAGAUAUAUGGAAGAACACCAGUGGCGAAGGCGGCUGUCUGGUCUGUAACUGACGCUGAGGCUCGAAAGUAUGGGUAGCAAACAGGAUUAGAUACCCUGGUAGUCCAUACCGUAAACGAUGAAUGCUAAGUGUUGGAGGGUUUCCGCCCUUCAGUGCUGCAGCUAACGCAUUAAGCAUUCCGCCUGGGGAGUACGGCCGCAAGGCUGAAACUCAAAGGAAUUGACGGGGGCCCGCACAAGCGGUGGAGCAUGUGGUUUAAUUCGAAGCUACGCGAAGAACCUUACCAGGUCUUGACAUACUAUGCAAAUCUAAGAGAUUAGACGUUCCCUUCGGGGACAUGGAUACAGGUGGUGCAUGGUUGUCGUCAGCUCGUGUCGUGAGAUGUUGGGUUAAGUCCCGCAACGAGCGCAACCCUUAUUAUCAGUUGCCAGCAUUAAGUUGGGCACUCUGGUGAGACUGCCGGUGACAAACCGGAGGAAGGUGGGGAUGACGUCAAAUCAUCAUGCCCCUUAUGACCUGGGCUACACACGUGCUACAAUGGAUGGUACAACGAGUUGCGAACUCGCGAGAGUAAGCUAAUCUCUUAAAGCCAUUCUCAGUUCGGAUUGUAGGCUGCAACUCGCCUACAUGAAGUCGGAAUCGCUAGUAAUCGCGGAUCAGCAUGCCGCGGUGAAUACGUUCCCGGGCCUUGUACACACCGCCCGUCACACCAUGAGAGUUUGUAACACCCAAAGUCGGUGGGGUAACCUUUUAGGAACCAGCCGCCUAAGGU